AUGGCUAGUUCUUUACCUUCUGCCUCUAUGUCUGAAAUUGGGGAUACUAUUGUCGAUAACAAUUUUGAUACUCCUACUAAAGAACCCACUAUCUCACAUAUAAAAAGAUUCUGUGUUGGUAGUGGUAAUAUUAUUGGAAAAGGAGUUAUUCAAGAUUUCUUUACUUGUGCCGGUGCUUUACCUUAUAUGGGUAGUUCUAUUCUUCAUAGAAGUAGUAGUCUUGCGGACACUAUUGCCAUGCUUGUAGUUGAACUUGAGAGACAAUUCUUGCACAUGCAUCCUUCUAUACAAAGGAUUUUCCUAGAAUUUUCUAAUAUUGAGCAUUCUUCUGUUAAGCGUAAUGUUACUAUCUUUUUGGCUCAUGAGGUUCGAUUCAUAAUAAAAGAGACCAAAGAAAUCUUUGCGCAUGAUAGGGUGGACGCUUGUCGUCCCCCCAUAGAAACUAUCCUCUUUGAUCAAGAAGAAAUAAUGCGUUUCCAAUCUUUAGACUAUGUUGCUUUCAAUGAAAAUAUCACAAAAAGGGUUCCUACCAAUGUUUUAGUUGAUAUAAUUUGGGAUAUUCUCUUGGAUAUAGGCUCACAAAGUUCUGUUAAAAGAAUGCUUAUAAUGAUGAAUUGGUUGUGCAAUAUGAAGGACCAAAGGAGGAACCUAUACCUCCCAAGGUUGGUCUUGGAGACUUUUGUCCCAACAAAUUUAGCCCUUUUGAUUACUUUUGCUUGCCUCAAAGAAAACUUGCUGCUGAACGUAGAGAAUAUGAAGUGA
rnacentral:rRNA from 1 species